rnacentral:rRNA from 1 species
GGGUGUGGAAGUGCAGUAAUGCAUUAAGCUAACCAGUACUAAUUGCCCGUACGGCUUGUCCC